UGAGUACGAGACGCUAAGGCGUCGAAGUAGUGGAUGUCAUACUUCCAAGAAAAGCUUGCACUGUCAUAAAUAAAAGAUGCCUGUACCAUAACCGACACAGGUGGGUAAGUAGAGUAUACUAAGGGGCGCGAGAUAACUCUCUCUAAGGAACUCGGCAAAAUAACUCCGUAACUUCGGGAGAAGGAGUGCCUUAUUCUUAAGGUUGCAAUAACAAGAUCCAAGCAACUGUUUAUCAAAAACACAGGUCUCCGCUAAGUCGUAAGACGAUGUAUGGGGGCUGACGCCUGCCCAGUGCCAGAAGGUUAAAGAAGUCGGUUAGCAAUAGCAAAGCUGGUAACUGAAGCCCUGGUGAACGGCGGCCGUAACAAUAACGGUCCUAAGGUAGCGAAAUUCCUUGUCGGGUAAGUUCCGACCCGCACGAAAGGCGUAAUGAUUUGGAUGCUGUCUCGGAGAGGGGCUCGGUGAAAUAGACUUGUCUGUGAAGAUGCGGACUACCUGCACCAGGACAGAAAGACCCUAUGAAGCUUUACUGUAACUUGAAAUUGAAAUUGGACUUUAUUCGCGCAGUAUAGGUGGGAGGCGUUGAUUAUAAUCUUGUGGGAUUAUUGGAGCCAUCAGUGAGAUACCACUCUUGUAAUGUUAGAUUUCUAACUUUGAAUCAUUAUCUGGUCAAAGGACAGUUUCAGGCGGGCAGUUUGACUGGGGCGGUCGCCUCCUAAACGGUAACGGAGGCGUACAAAGGUUUCCUCUGAACGGUUAGAAAUCGUAUCUAGAGUGUAAAGGCAUAAGGAAGCUUGACUGUGAGACCUACAAGUCGAGCAGGGACGAAAGUCGGUCUUAGUGAUCUGACGGUACUGAGUGGAAAGGCCGUCACUCAACGGAUAAAAGUUACUCUAAGGAUAACAGGCUGAUCUCCCCCAAGAGUUCACAUCGACGGGGAGGUUUGGCACCUCGAUGUCGGCUCAUCGCAUCCUGGGGCGGUAGUACGUCCCAAGGGUUGGGCUGUUCGCCCAUGAAAGCGGUACGCGAGCUGGGUUCAGAACGUCGUGAGACAGUUCGGUCCAUAUCCGGUGUAGGCGCUAGAAUAUUGAGAGGAGCCUUCUUUAGUACGAGAGGACCGAGAAGGACAUACCUCUGGUGUACCAGUUAUCGUGCCAACGGUAAACGCUGGGUAGCUAUGUAUGGAGUGGAUAACCGCUGAAAGCAUCUAAGUGGGAAGCCCACCUCAAGAUAAGUAUUCUCAUCACGUAAGUGAGUAAGGUCACGGUAAGACUAACCGUUUGAUAGGCAUUAAGUGUAAGUACAGUAAUGUAU
rnacentral:rRNA from 1 species